rnacentral:misc_RNA from 1 species
GAUGAAGAACGUAGCGAAAUGCGAUACGUAAUGUGAAUUGCAAAUUCAGUGAAUCAUCGAGUCUUUGAACGCACAUUGCGCCCCCUGGUAUUCCGGGGGGCAUGCCUGUCCGAGCGUCAUUGCUGCCCUCAAGCACGGCUUGUGUGUUGGGCCCCGUCCUCCGAUCCCGGGGGACGGGCCCGAAAGGCAGCGGCGGCACCGCGUCCGGUCCUCGAGCGUAUGGGGCUUUGUCACCCGCUCUGUAGGCCCGGCCGGCGCCUGCCGAUCAACCCAAAUUUUUUAUCCAGGUUGACCUCGGAUCAGGUAGGGAUACCCGCUGAACUUAAGCAUAUCAAUAAGCGGAGGA